CGCUCCCGGCGGUCCCGCGGCCGCGCGCUCUGGCUGAGGCCAGCUCCUUCUCCUGCAGCCUGCCCGCGGCUUGGCUUCGGGGCGACCGUGGCACCGCCGAAGAUGGCAGGCGCUCUCCUCCGGAGCCCGGCCUGGGGAGCCCCCGCCGGGCGGUCAGCCGCCCGCCUCGCGGGCCCGUUCUCGGCCCCCCGGCCUGCGCCGUCGCCGCCUGAUCGCGCGUUCGAAGGCAGGUGGCCAGCCCCGGCGUCCUGGGUGUCCUGCACGUCGGGACCAGAAAGAAAGCUGCUAUAGAGGUAAUGCUGCUACAGACUUUGCAGUCAUACACUGAUGAUACCCCAGUUCUGUCCAAAAUCAGAAUUUGUGCUAUAGAAACAAAUACAUUGCACUGGAAGUGGUUUGUAUUUUGGAGAACCUAGUAGUGGCAGAAGCACCAACAGAGAGGAAGACGUGAUAUUGGUAAGCUUUAUUUAUGUACAUUUCUAUAAACAUCGUCUGAUGCUGUUAAUCAGUAGCUUCCAAAGGCUGUAAAAGAUAGUAUUUGAAGGCUUAAGAUAAGUCAAUUUAAUUUUCAAUAUAUAUGAAAUACAUUUUGCUAUAAAACUAUCACUUUCAGCAUAAAGUGAGAUAUGAAUCUUCAUUGUAGGGAUAUUACAGGGCUGUGCUUCAUCAGCUCCUGUUCAAUCUCUGGAAGAUAUCAAAACUGGCUGAGUUUUUCCUGUAACAAGUGAAGCUCCCACUCAAGUCAGUUACUCAGAAAAAAAUAGACAUGGUAAACGUGAAUAAUGAUGUUAAAAGAAAUAAGGGAAUCAACUACUUAAUAUUUUUAUAGGUUAGAACAAACUUGUUGAUUGGAUCAGAAAAUGCAUGUGCUCUCAAGAUAAUCCCCUGGAGGGUUUUAGUCUUUUUCCACUUUCUUACACCUUUGACAGAACAUCUGUAUUUUCUGUCCUUGAAUGAGUUAAAAAAGGCCUUUAGUUACUAAGAUGCAGAGAAAUCUGCUGAACAGUACUGCAGAUACCUUAUGUACCUCAUAGCAGCAGGAAACAACGAAAGAGGCUCUUAUCUCUGGAUUCUGCUAAAAGCACUAGUAAAUGGUAAUACAUUGAUUUCCAUAUACCAAUAACUUAGAGAAUUAAACCAGUGACUGGUAUCAUUCUGUUCCUGAUAUGCAGUGCAGAUGUCUUAUAUACCCAGACAGCAGUAAAACCUAGAGUAUAAGCAGUCAUUAUGCUCAGAAAAACAAAUGCGCUAUUCAGAGGAGAAAAAAACAAACACUGCAAGGUAACACAAGACAACAACUUCGGCAGGAAGUUAGGUUGUUCAAGUCUGAAUUUGUAGCAUAUUUCUUUGUACCGCUCUUUCCUGUUUUCAUAAGGCACUUGGAUGUUUUUGUCCUUCUGGGUGAGCUGGGGCUUGGGAAGCAAUAGAAGUCUCUGCAAACUGCCUUUUAUUCAGUGCAUCUGAAAAGCAGGAUCCAUCAUCUUUCAACUUAAACAAACAGUAAGCAAAUGAAGAAGCUGCCUCUGGUCAUAUCAUUACAUUUUGAUGCUACAGAUUUGAGAAAUGAAUGGUAUACGUAGAUUUGUUUUUUAAAAAAAUAGUCAUUACAUGGGUGGAACGUAAGAGAAGGAGACAGGAAUUCACUGUAAAUAAGUGGUCUGUGUAGGGAAAUUAUUUGGGAACCCAAACCACUGGUUUGCCUUUUGUGGUAUUUUUAUCAAUUGUCAAAAAUUAUUACCAGUUAUAAACUGUUUUUACGGGAAAGCUCUCCUGCUCUGAAUGGCCAAAAAUGACGCUAUACAAAAGUUACUUCUUUCUGUCAGUCUUACCUUGGGAGAAAAUACCCCAGUUAUACGCUAUCCCUUUUUCUCUUCGGGACAGAAUGAGUUGUAGGGAUGGUCUCAAGCGUAUCUGGGAUCCAGGAAAUGGCUUUGUUAUCAGCUAUGAGAAACUUAUUUUCUUAGUGUCAACUUGAGACCCUCAUGGAUUUGCUGCCAGUGUCAUUCUCCCAGCUGAGACUUUCUUAAGAGCAGAAAGCUGAUCAGGGACAGAUUUCUUGGCCUGAUACCUGCGGAGUAAGGUCCCAGGACCUACUUUUACAUGGCAUCCAUAUUUAAUAAGCUGUGGACAGUGAUACAAGCCUAACUCUUCUUUGGUAUAUGAUACAAUGUCUCCUGUCAUCAGGGGACCUGAAGCUGAGCAUAGAAACUACACAGUUGUCAGUGCCUGCUGCAUAUUCAGCUGAUACUACCUUUAGUGCACAGCUGUCUCAAUGCCACUGGAUAGCCACACAGUUCGUGGCUGAAAAAUUUGAAAAGAGAGAUCUAUGUAAAAACCAUCAAGAUGUGUCAAUUAAAUGGGAAACAUGGAACAGCAGCACUGUUUCCAGUGCUGAAGUAAUAGAAAAGUGAUAGGAGUUUGAGUUUCUUUGAGAAAUGAGAGAGAAAUAACAUGAGGGAUGUAUAUUCCAUGCAAAUGUGCACAGGACUGCACACAUUUCCUGAAGUCCCAUCAUAUUCUAGUGUAAUAAAUUACUUGUAAAUACCAAGUCCUGUUAGACAUUAUGGACCAUUUCACUGAGUAAGUUAGCUGAAUUCUUCCCUGUCAUACCCACUCUCUUAAAAUGGAACAACUGCAUCAGAAAUCUGAACUAAUACUAAUCAGAUGGACUGAGCUGGUAUGUGGACAUUGCUAAGAGAAAGUUAUUCCCUGAAAUGCUGAGUUACCUGGAGUAAGCAAAAAAAUAAAAGAUUCUGAGCCCUUGCUGUGAUUUACUACCUCCCUUUGGGGAUAACCUUUCUCCCUUCUAGGCUGCUUUAAAAGGAACACAUUUAAAUAAAUAAAUAUGAAAAAUAGACAAAAAUAUGGAAACAAACUAUGUAAAUGCAAGCCCUGAGGUAUUUCAAGAACACUAAUUUUUAUACCUGACACACAAUCUACAACUGCCAGUAAGAAGUUUUUCUUUAUGGCUCUGUAAAAAUGUCCCAUUUUUCUUCUCUGUCUUACACCCACAAGAAAGGGUGAGAGGUUGAGGUAAGAGCCCCAUGGAAGCUGUGAUCGUCACUGAAGCAAAACCAGAGGAUAUUAAAGUGCUACAUGUCUUUCCCUGACCGUUUUCUGUCUUCAGUUCAGUUCCAUGGACCAGUUAGGUUCUACAGGGUAUCUGACAAAGCUGCUGCUUAUUUUUUUUUUUGAUAUAGUUUCUACUUCUGCACCAGCAUUUUAGACCAUAUAGAGUCUUGCAGAAUAAAGGGAUUUCUGAAUAAAGAUUUUAGUGGUCCCUUUAACUCAUAAUUUUAUUCAAUUUAUUUAUUUAUUUUUGUGUCUCAGGCUAGCUUUGGAAGCUUAAACACACUGUGCACUGCAGUCACUCCCAAAUGACUGUGUAUCUUGCCAGCUUCCUACCUCUCUCCCUCUCUUUGUUUAGCCUGGAUCUCUUUGGACAUGUUUCCUCUUACAGAGCUUUCUGUAUUUGCAUGAAAAUACAACUGGACAUAGAAAAAAAAGAAUGUAUUUAUAUAAUAAUUAUAAUCCAAUAUGUGCAUGACAGUGAAGUCACAGAAUCGCAGAAUGGUUAAGGUUGGAAGGGACCUGUGGAGGUCAUCUGGUCCAACUCUCCUGCUCCACGUAGAGCAAGUUGACCAAGACCAUAUCCAGGCAGCUUUUGAAGAUCUCCAAGGAAGGAGAUGUCACAACCUCUCUGGGUAAACUGUGCCAGUGCUUGUCGGGUCUAUUCACGUGAAGUUCUUUGGAGCAGAUCGUUAAGCAUUUCUCCCCCCCUCCCCCCCUUUUUUUUUAUCAAGUCCAAUUUAAUUAUUUUUUUUUUCUCUUUGGGCUUUGGAAAGAAUAGUUAAAAAAUGGAUCAUAGGUCUUACUUUUUAAAAUGGCAUUUCGUUCUCCGCCAAUUCUUGGCAAAUGAGCUUGGUAUAAAAGGGUUUAAAGCAACCUAUGGAUGUGUGUACACUCUUGCAUAGUGACGACUCUGGAAGAAUAUGCAUGCAAACGUGCACACAGAACAUAUUUCAUUUGCACAUACUUACCUAAACAAGGUACUGCAUAUACAGAUAUCUGUUAAAUAUGCAUACAUAUAUGUAAUGAGAGAUAUGCAUGUGCUUAUAUGAUGUCUGUAGAUAUGUGAACUCUUAAUUGCACAUAUACAAACAUUAAACAAAUUAGUUUUAGAUGCCAUCUUUGCUUUUUUCAUUAGAAAGGACAUUAAAAAACCCUUUUUGUUCACUUCAGUUUUACUGUAACUAAUACAAUUCAUCUCCUCACCUAAUGGGAUAUUUUCCUUGAAGUAUGUUAAAACUAAUUAAAAUGUAUUACAGUUAUUAAUUUGGGUAGAAGAGUACUUCUUGUAAAGCUUAGUCUUGAACUUCUGGGACAUGGUUGUGCAUUGUAAGUUUUAGAUCAUUUCUCUUGUGUUACGGAUUGCACAGCAGAGAACCAUGCUGAAUAUCAUGCCAAAGAUCUAGAAGAAAAGGAAUGCAAUUUAGGGAUCCACUUAAAAAAACAUUAUAAAAAUAGAACGCAUAUCUGAACAAUUUGAAGGUUCUUAUUGCAGGGUAGCAAGUGACUGCUUCUGUCUACAGACCUUAAGAUAUCAGACAAUUAAUGUCAAAGAUAUUUCACUGAUACCUAAAGCCAGGAUUUUACAUGUCCACAUUGGAUUCAUUGUGCUUUGUUCUGAAUGGCCAGCAUAACAGCCCCCAAAUGUUAAUUUUAACAUAAACUGCACUAACAUCAAUAAUUGUGACUGUUGGUGUUAUGCCUAGCAUUGCAUCAAAAGCUUCUGAUUUUCAGAAUGCUUAUACAUGGAAUAUUGUAUACACAUUUGAUUAAGAGAAUGAUUCCAGAGGAAUCUCUGGUACUGGUGUUAAGCAUUGUGGUUUAACAGAGAAAGCUAAGCUCUUAACAGUUGCUACCCAGGACUGAGACUAUAUAUUAGAUAAAAAACUCUAUUCAUGUUGGGGAACUAGUUUACUAGAAUGUUGAAAGCAGAGAACGGUGGGUUUCCAGAGUCUCCAGAAAUUUCUUUUUGCCACAAUUUUAUGUUCGAAAGCAGAGUUAGCAGCUACUGCCUGAGGCUUCACUGCAAAUGAUGGGAGAUGUCAGUACUAUUGGUCAGUUAAAUCACCAAGUUCACAUCCCCAUCCCCUACACCUUAAGGAGAAAGGAGACAGCUGAUGAGUCACAUACCAUGAAGUGUCAGAAACAAGCAUGGAAAAAUGUACUUAUGUGCUUCUCUGCUGAAGAGAUUAUUGCUUCACAAUUUCUACUAUAUAGGAGAACAUCUCCAAUUUUACUGAAUGAUUGACAUGAAAAACUUAUUAAAACAACCAGAACAGAGGACACUUGCCUUUGGCAUCUGGAUAUUCUCUGGACAAGAAAGCAAGAAAAAGACAUUUAAAAGGCCACAUUUCUAUUUGUUUUCUAAUGUGAAACUGAAAAGUUACUGGAAGAGAGUACACAGCAUAUGGGAAAGUGGAAGAAAAAUGAAAGCUCCAAGCAUUUUGUCUGCUGCAUGUGCCUUCUGACUGUGUUCCCUCCUCUAUCUGCAAGUCUCCCUACCUUCUCCUUUCAAAUACUGAGAUAAGCUGCCUCAUGGAAAGCUGCUUCUCUACCCGGUCCUCGCUGCAGUAAUGGACAUCCGUUGUCUUAUGCAUCUCAGCUUUCAUCUUUUGUGGAAGGGCUAGCAGUGAGGGCUAAGUUAUACUGUCCUCUGCUGUGGAUGUCACUGACUCCAUCUGGCUUAGAUUUGCAGGAUUUUGCCUCACUGUUGUAGUGGCAUGGGUGAAACGGGAAGGUGGACUCAUUGCUCACUUUUGACAGGAACUUCUGUGGCUGAAGAUAAGAUCAGCAAAAAAUAAGGCAGAUGAAGACUGAAAUGAAGUGGGUGUGGCUGGAAGCUGCCUCCACCUGCAGACAAGAAAGCUGUUGUCUGUGGGGGAAGAAGGAUCCCUCUUAGCUGUCCUCAGCAGACUGGGUCACCUGCCUGCACGGCAUGAUCUGUGCAUGUCACUAAAAGUGCUGUACGGAUACAUACUGGGUAUGUGUGAGACACUAGUUAGUUAUGAAUUCUAAUGUUGUAAGAGUUGUAAGAUGCCAGUGCAUUCUCUUAGGUGGAUGGCAGCCAAGCAACGGGAUCUACAAAGGAGGAAGCUGGCAGAGAGACCAAAAAAGAAGCUUCUUCAGCAUCCACCAUCUCCCACUGUACCUAUCCAUCCAUGCUCCUGACUCCCUACUCCCCUCUUUCCCUUUUUCUUCCUCUAUCACUGCUAUCUGAAUGUCUCAUCUUCCCCUGCAAAUCUGUCUUGCUGCCUGCCCCAUUGUUUCUUGCUAUACCCACCUGUCUAGAUGGCACUUCUCUUUUUCUCUCCUUACACCUCUGUCCUGCUCCCUGGCCUUAUUUUUCUUUCCUCCAGCCCUGCUCUACAGGCUACAGUAGCAGAAAGCAACAGAUCAGCAUGGGACAGAUGAGUGCUGAUCCAGUGCUGAUUUCUGAGGUGAAAUGGGGGGAAAUGGGUGCAUAGGGGUCAUCAGCCAUGCAGCAGCCUCCCUCCAGGCACUGAUGUGCAUGAAUAAACAGCUGCUUUGUUUAUUGCA